AAAUCCCGUGGUCCCUAUUAUACCUGGAGCAUAAACAACGUUACUGAAGUGUCCCCUUGGCAAGUCUACUUUAGAGUAACGGUCAUUUCAUAGGCGAGGGUACCUCCUCUAUCACCCCAUUUGGAAAGGGCCCCCGCAUACCGCCAGAGCCUCGUCACCUCAUGUUCACAGUGUGUGUGACCGCUCUUUUAUGCCUGUUUGUAGGGGGCUGACAGUGCGAUACGAUUUAUCAUCGUCACUUGCUCCUACCUGGGCCAAGGGAGUUUUGUGGUCAAGUCCCGAUCGCCUGAGUCCCAACCCAAGCUUGAUUCGGACUGAUCUGUUAAGUGUUUCAACUUCUCCUAUGCGAACUUAUCUCCGGAGUGUUGUGACGAGCAUUUCUGACGAAUUAAUGUGCAGUGGAGUGUGGGGGGAGUUUACUUUUGCUCGUGGUGUCGCGUUGAGGGGGAGGGAGGGUUUACCGUUGGCCGAGGAGUGGUGAGGGUGUUUUGUUUUACGGAGCUUGCCAAGAGGACACUAUAGUUACAAGUCGGUCUUUGAAAGGACCCAACGGAUUACACUGUACGUCUCAGACAGUUCUUUUUGGAUUCGGAUUUUUUUUUCACGAACGAGGUCACGGCUCAGAGCGAUCAGUCUUCGGCAGUUGGACGUUCCUUUGGUCACGCGCCCAGCGCUCACACACGACGGAAGGACCGCUGGCAUUUUAACAACGUUGUUGAACUAGAUUCUCUUCCCCGCGACACUAACCCUUGUCCGCACAGUAGACAACAAUUCAUUUGUUAUCAGUGCUUUCGGAAAACAAUACACGUUUCCGAACGAAAUUUUUACAGUGUCAAGAGUGAUUUGAAGUGUCAUCUCUUAAAAUAGAAUAGGGAG